rnacentral:rRNA from 1 species
GAUGAACGCUGGCGGCGUGCCUAAUACAUGCAAGUCGAGCGAACAGACGAGGAGCUUACUCCUCUGACGUUAGCGGCGGACGGGUGAGUAACACGUGGAUAACCUACCUAUAAGACUGGGAUAACUCCGGGAAACCGGAGCUAAUACCGGAUAACAUGUUGAACCGCAUGGUUCAACAGUGAAAGACGGUCUUGCUGUCACUUAUAGAUGGAUCCGCGUCGCAUUAGCUAGUUGGUAAGGUAACGGCUUACCAAGGCAACGAUGCGUAGCCGACCUGAGAGGGUGAUAGGCCACACUGGAACUGAGACACGGUCCAGACUCCUACGGGAGGCAGCAGUAGGGAAUCUUCCGCAAUGGGCGAAAGCCUGACGGAGCAACGCCGCGUGAGUGAAGAAGGUCUUCGGAUCGUAAAACUCUGUUAUUAGGGAAGAACAAAUGUGUAAGUAACUAUGCACGUCUUGACGGUACCUAAUCAGAAAGCCACGGCUAACUACGUG